GUGCUUGAUUCAGCAGCACAUACACUAAAAUUGGAAUGAUACAUAGAAGAUUAGCAUGGCCCCUGCACAAGGAUGACACACAAAUUUGUGAAUUGUUCCAUUUUUUU
rnacentral:snRNA from 1 species